GGUAAAUACACCUUGGCUUGCAAUUCUGAUGAUUACAGUUUGCUGAGGCAAUUGAAAUGUCAGUCCCCAAUCAGGAAUCACCCACAUGACCUGACAUAAGCUAUGAGAUAACAAAAUGCAUGUCAGUGGAACUAUUGUAAGUGCAGUACCACCCAGUGAUAAAAAUUAAUAAUUUCCUGUAAGAAUGAAUGUUUGGGAGAAGUUAUAGUAGUAACUGACCCUUUUUUGUUAAAAUGCAUAGGAUUUGAUGAUUGUAAUGUACAGUAUAUCUCUUAGCUUUUAAACUUUCAACUUUAUAUCAAUUAUAACUGUUUACCAUGUUUAUUUCUUUCUACCUCAAGCCCUCAAAAGUUGAAGCAGGUUAUCAGACUUUCUUUGUUUGGAAUUGUGUGAUUAUAUAAUUUUGCUGAGUAAGUUGCCACAUUGUAACAUGUAAUAUUAUAUUUGAAUUGCAUUAAAUACUCUUGCUCAAGCUUUCAUUACCGCAUGGUGUUUCUUACCAAUACUCAUACCCAAACUUAAGAUUGAUAUAAGGAAUUGGUCACAAGAUAUAUGAUUUUUAAAGGGUGAAAAACUGGAAAAGCAAAGAUUCCCCUUUAAUUAGGACUGAAAUUAAAAUGGGCUCUGCUAUUUUAAUUCAUGUUUUAACUUUGACCUUCAGGAAAGUUAAAUUAAUUGGCAUCUGCACGAUGCACGAAGCAAGAAUAUAAAUGACUUAGCUUAAUAAGUUAUAAAAUUGAAAUUAGAAAGUUGUGCAGACCAUAUCUUGCCUUUUAUCCUUCUCUGGAUAUUAACUCAAAUAACAGUCACUAUCAGUCUCUCACUCUCACUUUCCACUGAGCUUGUGGAAAGAUGAUAACCUCAGUAUUUUUUUAAACGAAGAAAGGAAAGCCUGCCCUAUUACCACAGAUAGUUCUUUUGUGCAUCAUUGGUACAUACCUAGUCUUAUAUGUACAUAAGUUGAUUGUUCUAGGUAGGAUAACCUAUCAAAUUAGUUGUGAAAAUUUCUUUGUUUGACUCAAUUUUACCUGACAAACCUAAACUGUAUGAAUAGAAACUUGAGAUUUAUUUCUUCUCCUUUUGAGGUGUAUAUCAAAAUUUUGAAGUCAUGGCAGGCUUGAACUACAGGUUUAUAAGAAAUCUGCAUGUGUGUGUGUGCUUUCAACAUAUAAAACCAGUAAAAAAGGUUCCUUAGCUUUUUUCAUGAAUACACAUUUCUUUUUCUAAGAAUCUUGUUUAUUUGGCCUAUGCUGAGUUCUAAUUUUUCAAAAAAGUUUUACAUUCUUUUGAAUAUUCUUAGAUCCUAUUCCUAGUAUCAGUUAAUAUUCAUUUAAUUAAAAUAAUUACAUCAAAUCUUGCAGAUGUUUGGUACAUUUUUCCACUGAUCCUACUGACAUUUCAUCAUGCGCAGGGGCUGAUAUUGACUAUAAAAGUAUUGUUAAAUUAAAUAUUUGUGCACAGCCUAUGCAUCAAAUAUUUGUUAUAAAAUAUUGUAUCUUUCUUAAAACCAGUUUAUCAGAAUAAGAAUGAGGUUUACCAGGCACAAGUAUGGCUUUCACAAUGAUAGUUUCCAAGUUUGAAAAAAGGCACUGCCUACUAAAAUCCUUUGUUCCUUUACCUUGACAGCCCAACCUCAUCAAAACAUUGGCAACAAGAUCGAUUAGCAAAUUAACAAUACAGACAAGAGAGCCUAUUCCCACAUAAACUCCUCAAUCCUGUUUGCUUACUAUGGACACAACAUUUCAAACAUGAUGAGUUAAAUCUAUUGCCGACAACAUAAAAGAAGGAAAAAAGACGAGUGCAUACAAUAAAGAUUGCGCUGAGUACGUACGAAUCAUGGCACAAAAGUUUCUAGCGAAAGCUGCAACCUUCGAGGCGCUAAAGCCACUGGUCGAAGCGCAAUUGAAGCUAGCAAUAAACACCCUGAAUGACCUGCAAGCGAGAAUCCCCAUGCUUGUUGAAGCUCGCUACAAGCCCUAUAGAGACAAAUGCGAGUGUUUGCGCAGUGAGCUCGCGUCGUUUGGCUCUAUGGAAAUCCGCCGAUGCACGCGGCUCUCCUAGGAAGACCUUUCUCGGGAUGUCAGCGAGGAUGUCUACUUGAAGCGACCAAUGGAACCUGGGCUCUACCAAGGACACAUUUCCUAUGAAGGUACUCAUCAAGUGGCCAAGUAACUUUUACAGUGUGUUUAAAGUGUACAGAGAACUGCUGACCAGGAGCAAUAUUAUUGAGUGCUUUGCAAACGAAGCAAUCUUGAGGAGGCUUUGCCAUCCUCAUAUUGUCACCUUUUACAGUGCUGUUUUCAGAAAGGUUCCAAGAGGGUUAAAAGCAGCCUUUGUAACUGAGUGUCCAGGAGUUGAUUUAAAGAAAUAUCUGAUCGAUCAGCCCGGAAAUUGUCCUGCAAAGAAUUCCGCGUUUUCGGAGAAUGCGAUUCGCUGGGCAGACCAAAACAGCUUUUGAUACCUUUGAUCAGCCAGUCUUAAUUUAGCGAAUACGAAUUUCAAUAAAACUUCAGGAACUUUCGAUCUUAUACGUGAGAUGCUAAUUAACUGCGUGUUUUUAAACUUUUUCCUGUAAUCACCUUGUGGUGAAGGGGUGGUACAUGCCUUUAUUUUCUUUAUUUCGCUGAAGGACGAUUUUCUGUUUUAAUAAAGCACACAAGUAUCCAAAGGAACUUAAUUGUAACCAACAUUAGGAGGGUUAUAGACUCUUAGGACAUAUCACAUUUCAUUUCAUUUCUAUACGAGGUAGUUUAUCUUUUUAUCACUACAUUUAGGCCUUAUCAUCUGCUCUCAGUAAUUACUUUAGUUUAAUGAAAAUUUACAAUGUGCGAGUUCGAAAAAUUUAGUUUUAAAUCAUCUAUAAUGAUCAUGCAGUGAAAAUUAGCGACACCAAUUGCAAUUUGUAUCUUUGCUUAUCACACUUUGUAGUUCUCGCUUUGAGAAUAGAUGAUAUAAAGUGAACUCUUGAGCUCUAAUGUGUAGACCACAAACAUAUUUCUUAUGUAACACGGAACAGUUAUAAGAAAUUUUGAACGCGUCUGAUUUCCAGAUGCUAAAUUAAAUUUAUUUGGUAAAUUAGUGUACGAAACGAUACAACGCUGUAGAAAAAAGCCAAAAUACGGAGAGAGAUGGAAGAAAGAAGUAGACUCACUUGUAACUUUAAAGAUUCUAGAGGCUAACUUAGAUAAGGCUAAAGAAAAACGGUAGACUAUCAAGAGACAUAGAACAACAAUAAACUAGCGAACUCUUAGCGUAAAAUGAAUAGACGUGAUAAUUAUCGUGUCAUAUAAAUUAUUAUCAAACGAAGGUACAAACAGCAGUAUCGUACUAAACAAAAAAGGUAGCUAAAUGAGCAUAAAAGGAUAAUAAUUUGAAAAGAAAUAAGGAAAAUUUGUAAAUAAGAUCGUUGAGUCAACACUUAGUCGACUAAAUGAGACGUUCUAUGACCGAAAAAAGGUUGAUGAUUCUGUGACUUAUUUAACAACAACAGAAUUAAGUACUUUGGUUGACGGCUCGUACCCAGAAAAAAUAGCAAGACACUUGAGAUAGGGGUAGCUUGGAUCCUUCUGAUCGUGGCAAAGGUAGCAGUGUGGCCUCACCUAACUUCCUCUUUUUUUACUUACGGUAUGCGUCGCACUUUUAUAGGCUAUGAUACGUGAAGAAAGCUAAGGCGUUGC